rnacentral:rRNA from 1 species
UACGGAGGGUGCAAGCGUUAUCCGGAUUUACUGGGUUUAAAGGGUGCGUAGGCGGGCCUUUAAGUCAGUGGUGAAAGCUCCGAGCUUAACUCGGAAACUGCCAUUGAUACUAUUGGUCUUGAAUUCGGUCGAGGUUGGCGGAAUGUGUCGUGUAGCGGUGAAAUGCUUAGAUAUGACACAGAACACCGAUUGCGAAGGCAGCUAGCUAGACCGACAUUGACGCUGAGGCACGAAAGCGUGGGGGUCAAACAGG